rfam:Triticum aestivum genome assembly, contig: Triticum_aestivum_CS42_TGACv1_scaffold_030660_1BL
GGGCCUGUAGCUCAGAGGAUUAAAGCUCGUGGCUACGAACCACGGUGUCGGGGGUUCGAAUCCCUCCUCGCCCA